rnacentral:tRNA from 1 species
AGGCUUGUAGCUCAGGUGGUUAGAGCGCACCCCUGAUAAGGGUGAGGUCGGUGGUGCAAGUCCACUCAGGCCUA